AUGAACGCUAGCUACAGGCUUAACACAUGCAAGUCGAGGGGCAUCAGGGUGUAGCAAUACACCGCUGGCGACCGGCGCACGGGUGAGUAACACGUAUCCAACCUGCCCUUUACUCGGGGAUAGCCUUUCGAAAGAAAGAUUAAUACCCGAUGGUAUAACAUGACCUCCUGGUUUUGUUAUUAAAGAAUUUCGGUAGAGGAUGGGGAUGCGUUCCAUUAGGCAGUUGGCGGGAUAACGGCCCACCAAACCUUCGAUGGAUAGGGGUUCUGAGAGGAAGGUCCCCCACAUUGGAACUGAGACACGGUCCAAACUCCUACGGGAGGCAGCAGUGAGGAAUAUUGGUCAAUGGGCGAGAGCCUGAACCAGCCAAGUAGCGUGAAGGAUGACCGCCCUAUGGGUUGUAAACUUCUUUUAUAUGGGAAUAAAGUCUGCCACGUGUGGCAUUUUGUAUGUACCAUAUGAAUAAGGAUCGGCUAACUCCGUGCCAGCAGCCGCGGUAAUACGGAGGAUCCGAGCGUUAUCCGGAUUUAUUGGGUUUAAAGGGAGCGUAGGUGGACAUGUAAGUCAGUUGUGAAAGUUUGCGGCUCAACCGUAAAAUUGCAGUUGAUACUGCGUGUCUUGAGUACAGUAGAGGUGGGCGGAAUUCGUGGUGUAGCGGUGAAAUGCUUAGAUAUCACGAAGAACUCCGAUUGCGAAGGCAGCUCACUGGACUGCAACUGACACUGAUGCUCGAAAGUGUGGGUAUCAAACAGGAUUAGAUACCCUGGUAGUCCACGCCGUAAACGAUGAUUACUAGGUGUGGGGGGACUGACCCCUUCCGUGCCGGAGUUAACACAAUAAGUAAUCCACCUGGGGAGUACGGCCGCAAGGUUGAAACUCAAAGGAAUUGACGGGGGCCCGCACAAGCGGAGGAACAUGUGGUUUAAUUCGAUGAUACGCGAGGAACCUUACCCGGGCUUAAAUUGCAAAUGAAUAUGCCGGAAACGGCAUAGCCGCAAGGCAUUUGUGAAGGUGCUGCAUGGUUGUCGUCAGCUCGUGCCGUGAGGUGUCGGCUUAAGUGCCAUAACGAGCGCAACCCUUAUCUUCAGUUACUAACAGGUCAUGCUGAGGACUCUGGAGAGACUGCCGUCGUAAGAUGUGAGGAAGGUGGGGAUGACGUCAAAUCAGCACGGCCCUUACGUCCGGGGCUACACACGUGUUACAAUGGGGGGUACAGAAGGCCGCUACACAGCGAUGUGAUGCCAAUCCCUAAAGCCCCUCUCAGUUCGGAUCGAAGUCUGCAACCCGACUUCGUGAAGCUGGAUUCGCUAGUAAUCGCGCAUCAGCCACGGCGCGGUGAAUACGUUCCCGGGCCUUGUACACACCGCCCGUCAAGCCAUGGGAGCCGGGGGUACCUGAAGUACGUAACCGCAAGGAGCGUCCUAGGGUAAAACUGGUGACUGGGGCU
rnacentral:rRNA from 1 species